UCCUGCCCUCCAAGCUGCAGACAAGAAAACGGCACAGGCCUCCUGGCUGUGUCGCCCGGUGCCACACCAAGGGCUAGUGGUCUGUCCGCUUUUCUUUCUUCUUUCUUUCUUUCUUUUGCGGUGGAAAAUCAGAAGGCUUCGGCUGAGAACACGGCCAGGAGCCAGGAGCCGAAGAUACUCUCGACAUUUUACCACUUCCUACUUUUCACAGCUAUUUGCAUAAGGGUUGUUAGGAAAACACCUAUAGCAGAAGGGAGCCGGCUUAAUGGAAAAAGCAUUUCAAUCAUUCACUUUCAGCCAGAAUUUCACACACUCGAGGCACUUGACAUUAUCCUUGGAAAUCAGGAGGGAAACAGCUGCGGCGCAGGCCACACCCCCCAGGAUUUCAGCCUUUUGAUACAAGGGGUGCCACCGCACCACACCCCCCCACCCCCGCCGCACCCCCGUGCAGAGAUUUGUUGGAUUGUGAGAUCCCUGCCAGGAGCUGGAGCUGGGAAGCCAGGUUCAAUUAGACCACAAUUUCAAGUAGUUCAAAUCCGCUCGCUGUGGCUCCCCCUCCAAUCUGGCAUUGUCAGCUGCUUCUUCCUAUUAGUGAUGGUCUCACUUUUUGGCACUAAAAACAGAGGCCCUCAAUGCAUUGCAGUGGUGAGCUGGGUCCAGCAUGGACGCGUGCAAGAGCCCAUUGUUAAAUUUUCAGGAAUAUGGUGAGCCAAUUGUUAAAUUAUUAAAAAUUAUAUGAGCUUACAGUUAAAUGUGUUAUAUAUCUUAAAAAGAAUACUCAAAGUUGAUCAGUUCCUAUUUAUUUUGCUGCCUUUUACUAUUACCUAUGCUUUUUAGCACGGGCUGACUCUUCUUUUCUAGAAGGGGCCAGGGAUAUUUUAGGUUUUCAGUGUCUUGUCUCAGUCACUCCACUCUGCCAUUAAAGGCAAAAGGGACCAGGACAAUAUGUAAAUGAACGAGCAUGGCUGCAUUCCAAUAAAACUUUAUUUACAAAAACAGGUGGCAGGCUCAAUUUCACUGAUGGGCCAUAGGUUGUGAACUGAUGCUCUUAAAGUUAUUUACACCUGUUGUAUCUAUGUGGUAGAAAUCCCAUAUCACAGCAUUUGGAUGUGUAUCUUUUCCCAACUUUGAAUUCAGUGAUAGCAUGCUAGCUUAUAGUAUGGUGAUGGGAAUUUACACCAUGGAAAUUUCCAAAUGCUACAAAUAAGGCAUUAUUAUUAUUAUUAUUAUUUUGGUGAUUAAAUUUGAGAAAGCGACGGAGAAAAUUAUUCAAAAGUAUACCAUGUCUAUAGCUGUAUUGUGAAUAGCACCAAAAAAUGAGGACAUGUUCUCUCAGUACUUGAAAAACUAUUCUCCAUUUCAGCAAGGAAGUCACUCUCGUCACCAAAGAUCCAGUGAAGUUCCAACACACGUCUUUGUUCUUUCACUUUCAUCUUACCCACUGAUUUACAUGAAAAUAUCAACCAACAUACUUAUGUCGGAGCUAUACUUGUUUGUCAAGUUCGAUUUCAGGUUGGCCAGAUCCCAGAGUUUGGCAAAAAUCAACAAAAGCAUUCUGUUAGAAUAAAUGGACUAUAUGAAAUUUAUAAAAGAGAGUAUCAACUAUUUUAUUAUUUGUAAACUGUAUGCGAAGCAGCCUCUCAUGGGUAAAAUGUAUCCUACAAUAUGUAUCCAUGCCCAUUUAUUCAGUGGGCAAGUUGUAAAACAUUUAAUAGCAGGACACGGAUUGUGAUAGGGAAGAACGACAGAUGAACCAGGCAGCAAGAAGUAAGGGGAGUGUGUGUGUGCGUGCGUGCGCGUGUGUGUGUGUGUGUGUGAGAGAGAGAGAGAGAGAGAGAGAGAGAAAGACAGAAAGAGAGAGAGAACAGCCCUCCCCCAGUACUGAAUGGAAAAAGCAAAACACAUAAACCUGACCACACCAAAAAGGAGCAUGCUUCCUGAAAAUUCUACAUCCUAAGAAGCUGAACUGUGC
rnacentral:lncRNA from 1 species